ensembl:misc_RNA Metazoa_SRP Metazoan signal recognition particle RNA
GCCGGGCACGGUGGCUCAUGCCUGUAAUCCCAGCACUUUGGGAGGCUGAGGCAGGUGGAUCACCUGAGGUCAGGAGUUCCAGACCAGCCUGACCAACAUGGUGAAACCCUGUCUCUA